AGCUAAGAUUAAAUGUAUUUUAAUCGAACAGGCUUUUUAAUGACUGAAGUAAUUAGUAAUUUAUGCACAACUGCAGAGUAAGAGACAGUAACAGCGAGCUAGAAAUACAGUAAAGUCAAGUGCAGCGAUAUAUUUAUAGUUUUCUCCUUGUACCACAGCAAACACUUAAUACUAAUCACAAAAUAGACAUUAAGCCUAAAACUACUGUUACCACUGCAACAGACUGAAUGUUCUGCUCUUUGUGUGGGAAAUAUCUGAGCGGUUUUCUUUUGUUUAGUUUUGCAGGGUGUGUUGUGGCGUUGUUGACAGUUGCUAUGGCAACGACUCUCCGUGUAGCUGCACUGAUACAGAGCGCGAGAAAGAAGUGGUUUUCAAAUGGUUGUCCGGAUGCAUGAAAUUUCCUAAUGCAAACAAUAACAUGCAGGGGGUACAUAUUUGUAAGUAUGAUUAUGAUUAAGUCGGUGCCUUACCAGCCACUGCAUGGGGUGUUGAAGAACGUAAUAUUAGGACGUCUCACAUUCGUUUUCUUUUCGUCAGAUCCGAUAGUUUAGCUCCGUUAGCUUACCAUCCUCGCGUUGUUUACAGGCAGAAAACAGUGAAAAGAAAAGUCCGUUUUCCAUCUUUUUACCGUUUCGGUCGUGUGAUGGGACAUUACAUCCAAUAACGCAGCAAAUUCGCACCAUUGCUAAAUUAUUUUAAGAAACUUGCAUUCAAAAAAUCUGCGAGAAAGUCGUUUUGCCGGUUGUGUUCAUGGCCCCUCAAGAUGGCGGUUAUAGCCCUUGGCCGCAGAGUACGUCUACAGCAGUGACGUCACGUUCCAAAGCUCUAUUCUGAUGAAGUGAUAUUUUUGUGUUUUUGUCGUGUAGUUCCAAUGAGGCUCAUUAGAAAAUUGACACCCCUUAGCAAUAUGUUUGUACAAAAAAUGAAAUUUUUUUGAAUGGUCUGAUAUAAUAUCCUAAUUUUAAAUGUCAUGUUUUGAUUAUCAGUAGACAGGAAAAUCAUGAUGAACAGAUUUAAAGGCUUUCAUUCAUCCAUCCGUGUAUCUAAACUAUAUUGUGUUUCAUUUAGUCACAAAGUUCCAGAAAUAAAUUUACUUUUCAAUAAGAUUUGAAUUUAUUGAAUGGGUCUGUACAUGUUAGGUUGCAUUGAAGAAGCCACACAACCAGUGAUUUACAAAAUAAUGCAUUAAGACAUUUUAAUUCACAAACAAAAAUCUAUAUAGUCAAAUCUUUUUUCUUUUGUUAACUGAAAAGAAAGUCAGAAAACCCCUUUCCCUCCAUGAAAAUGUAUAAAUAUAAAUAUCUUACCGUCAUAUUUUCUCUAGUUUGAUCACUUAAGUUCAAAUAAAUACUACUGAAACAUCCAACAGACAAAAAAAAAUCAUAACCAGAUAUUUCAAAGUAAUAUUUAUUUUUGCACCAACCAAAAAAAAAAAACAUAAACAAAAUACAAAUCUUGGUGCAAAAGAUAAAUUCCCAGUUAGGACACUAACAGUAAGAUAGUAAUGCUAAAACCGAAAAGAAGAGCGUGAAAAGAAACAUCACCUACAACAGCAAAGGAAUAUCAACACCAAUAAAAGCAAGUCUUGAAUAAAAACAUCAACAAACAACCAGUUAAAAUCAAAAACAACAUCAGUGGGGAACCAACGACAGCAAAGAUGCAAUAAUGUUUCAUCUGGCACAGAAAUAUCAGCAAAACCGAUCCGCAAACAUCCCUCAGAACAAUACAUAAAAACACACUCUCUCUCACACACACACGCGUGCGCAGGGCUGGAAUUCAACAAGAGUUAAAAUCAUGAUAAAACCACAACUACAGCAUUAAAAAAAUAAUCAAGGAUAUAAUAAAUAUAAGCAAAAAUCACUGUUAAAGCUGAAAUGUGUUUAAUCGCUCAACUGACAACAUUUAAGAAGUCCAAUAAAAACAGAGAUAUACCUUUUAGACUGCUGCCAAACCAUAACUCAUUACAUGAUCAAUUUCCGUUUAAAAAUCAAGAAGGGUAUGUACAUUACCUUCACCGAAAAGUCGUGUUUGGAGUUCUGAAGCUGUGUGACGUUUUAAAACCACCUCAGAAAGAAAAAAGAUGAGAAAAAGUCAUUAAAUGACAGGUGUCAGCAUCACUAUGGUGCUGGGAAAAGCAGAAAGACGAAGGCAUUGUGUGCGCUCCAAGAUACCAUCUUUUAUCAGUCGGUAACGAAAAUAUAGAAAACCCAUGCUAGGCUGAAACAGACACGAGAUUCAAUUCGACGAGCUUGUUUGUGUUUUUACAGCUGCUACUCCUGAACACUUAAAAAAUUAAAAAAAAUCAACUCUGUGGAUCAAAGAGUUGAAUAAUUUGAGACAAGAGCUCUGCCCAAAGCUGGUAGUGUAAAGGAAGUGCAGCACCUUUCGCGUGAAAACUGACUCCAGCUACGUCCCGACACUCGCCCUGCACAGUGCCUAAUAUCCAAACGACACAUAAACAUCGCAAAAUAAAUCCCUCUGGGCGAAAGCCCUGCAAUAAUUUGAUCAUCGACAUUCUCUGCUGAUAGUGCAAACGGCUCAAAUUUGCCCUCAAACUUAACCGAUAAAGUUCACUUCGUUUGUGAUCGUGUGGUGGAGAACUUGUGAAGGAGCGUCUGAUUGAUUACAGAUAAAUUGAAAGGCUGGUUCGCUUGCAGCGUGCAAACGGCUGCGCCUUCUUAUUCACAGUCGCUGGAAUUAUGGCUUCUCCUCA